AAUUAAAGAUGACAUCUCAGUUGAAUAGCCUGCAUGUCUAAGUACGGACCUUAAUACGGUGAAACCGCGAAUGGCUCAUUAAAUCAGCUAUGGUUCCUUAGAUCGUAUACACUACAUGGAUAACUGUAGUAAUUCUAGAGCUAAUACAUGCAACUAUGCCCUGACCCGUGAGGGAACGGGUGCAUUUAUUAGAACUCAACCUAUAUGGUCCUCCUGCUGUUUAAUUCUGUGAUGACUCUGGAUAACUUGCUAAUGAUCAACGGCCUUGUGUCGGCGACGGAUCUUUCAAAUGGCUGCUCUAUCAAUUGUCGAUGGUAGGUGAACCUGAGAAAGAUCAAACUGGUCGCGUUGUCUUAUGUGUUAUUCAAAUAAGGGCCCCAACCGAAGUGAGGGCCAUUCCCCCCCUCCCCCAAAAUAAAAACAAAAAAAAAUAUGUUGUUUUUUUUUUGGGGGAGAACAAAAAAAAAAAGGGG
rnacentral:rRNA from 1 species